rnacentral:lncRNA from 1 species
GCAGGUCUUCAGGAAGUCUACUGCCCGCUUGCAGCUCCCAAUCUCUCCUUCCAUCCCUUUGCUUCUCACUGAAGCUUUUGGAUAGUAACUUCACAGGCAGUUCACAAGCUUUUUGCAAGAGUAGAGUCGCCAUCAAAUAUUCUUUUGAGCCGGAUGGCCUGUAGGACUUUUGGAGCUUUCUUAUUGGGGACUCAUGCACAUAGGGAGGAGUAGAGCUCGUCAUGGGCCGGGUUUGGGCACAGAAUAUGCUAAAUUUUAAAUAUAUCCAGUCUAAAAUUCGACUAAAAAUAAAUAUGAGUUGAGCCAGAUGUCUGGCCUAUGAUUAUCUCUUCAUAGAAUGCUGAGAAGGAGAAUGUGCACGGCUGAUAGGGAUGGAAAGAGGCUCAGGCC